UACGUAGGGUGCAAGCGUUAAUCGGAAUUACUGGGCGUAAAGCGUGCGCAGGCGGUUGUGCAAGACAGAUGUGAAAUCCCCGGGCUUAACCUGGGAACUGCAUUUGUGACUGCACGGCUAGAGUGUGUCAGAGGGGGGUAGAAUUCCACGUGUAGCAGUGAAAUGCGUAGAUAUGUGGAGGAAUACCGAUGGUGAAGGCAGCCCCCUGGGAUAACACUGACGCUCAUGCACGAAAGCGUGGGGAGCAAACAGG
rnacentral:rRNA from 1 species